rnacentral:rRNA from 1 species
AACGAACGCUGGCGGCAGGCUUAAUACAUGCAAGUCGAGGGGCAGCACGGGUAGCAAUACUUGGUGGCGACCGGCGCACGGGUGCGUAACACGUAUACAACCUACCUAUAAGUGGGGAAUAGCCCAGAGAAAUUUGGAUUAAUACCCCGUAACAUAAUGAUGUGGCAUCACAUUAUUAUUAUAGCUUCGGCGCUUAUUGAUGAGUGUGCGGCUGAUUAGAUAGUUGGCGGGGUAACGGCCCACCAAGUCUACGAUCAGUAGCUGAUGUGAGAGCAUUAUCAGCCACACGAGCACGGAGACACGGGCCCGACUCCUACGGGAGGCAGCAGUGGGGAAUAUUGGACAAUGGGCGAAAGCCUGAUCCAGCCAUGCCGCGUGUGUGAAGAAGGUCUUCGGAUUGUAAAGCACUUUAAGUUGGGAGGAAGGGCAGUAAGUUAAUACCUUGCUGUUUUGACGUUACCGACAGAAUAAGCACCGGCUAACUCUGUGCCAGCCGCCGCCGUAACAC